GAUGAACGCUGGCGGCGUGCUUAACACAUGCAAGUCGAACGAAGCACUUUAUUACGAUUUCUUCGGAAUGACGAUCUAGCGACUGAGUGGCGGACGGGUGAGUAACGCGUGGGCAACCUGCCUUGCACUGGGGGAUAACAGCCAGAAAUGGCUGCUAAUACCGCAUAAGACCGAAGCGCCGCAUGGCGCGGCGGCCAAAGCCCCGGCGGUGCAAGAUGGGCCCGCGUCUGAUUAGGUAGUUGGCGGGGUAACGGCCCACCAAGCCGACGAUCAGUAGCCGACCUGAGAGGGUGACCGGCCACAUUGGGACUGAGACACGGGCCCAGACUCCUACGGGAGGCAGCAGUGGGGAAUAUUGCACAAUGGGGGAAACCCUGAUGCAGCGACGCCGCGU
rnacentral:rRNA from 1 species